rnacentral:lncRNA from 1 species
AGACAACAGCUGCUAGAUCCGAACGGGAGGAGUGCUUUUUGCAUUCCUGGCUGCCUGCUUGGGCUGCUGAAGGGGCUGCUGCCUUCUACCAGGAGAAGAAAAGGAUCUCAAAUCUUCCGGAUCACUUCCUCUCGUAGGAAACUAUUGAGCACAGGUAAGAAAGAAAAAUCAUUCCUCUUUAUUUGGAAACCUAGGCACGGCGAUUAGAGGUACAGAAGCUAGAAAAGCGAUUGAGAGGCAUUUAAGUCCUCUGACAUCACCAUGAUGGGCAACUAGUCAGUAACAGCAUAAGGAACGUAGCAGGGUCAAGAGUAAAACUUUUUUUCUCUUUCAGCCAGCCUUGGAGAGUAUCAUUUCAGAGCAAAUGUUCUCAAACUUUUUGGUCUCUUGGCCUCUUAAUACUUCUAAAAUUAUUUAGGAUCCUGAAGAAUUUUUUUGUUUCUCUAGGUUAUUUACUGUAUUAUUAUCAUUUAGUAUUUAUGAGUAAUUUAAUAUUAUUAUUAGAAAUUAAAACUAAGAAAUGGAAAAAAUAGUGACCUAUUAAUUUAUUUUAAGAUAACAACGAGCACAUAACAUGUUGGCAUAAAGACAUUUUAAAUUGUGGAUAACUAUGUAUUCCCCAAAAAUACAUUUGAGGAAUGACAUUUUCAUCUUACAAGUCUCUUUAAUGUCCCGCUUAGUAGAAGAGAGCUGCUUUCUCACCUGCUUCUGUCUGUGCAGUAGCUCACAGAAGGUAGCCCCUGGUAAACUCUACUGCACAUUCUUGAGAAAAUGAGAGUGGAAAAUGGCAGAUUGCAUCUUAGAAUUAUUGUGAAAAUCGCUUUGACCUCAUGAAUCCCCAAGAAUUGCUGCUUCAGAAUGAGAUAAAUAAGCUUCUCUUUAAAGAGAGUCUCAACUCUGAACCCACUAUUUUAUUUUAUUUUUAUUUUUAUUUCAAAUUUUUAUUUUUUUAAUUUAUUUAUUUUUGUCUUUUUGCCAUUUCUUGAGCCGCUCCCGCAGCAUAUGGAGGUUCCCAGGCUAGGGGUCUAAUCGGAGCUGUAGCUGCCGACCUACGCCAGAGCCACAGCAACGCAGGAUCCGAGCCGCAUCUGCGACCUACACCACAGCUCACGGCAACGCCGGAUCAUUAAUCCACUGAGCAAGUGGCAGGGAUCGAAUGCACAUCCUCAUGGUUCCUAGUCGGAUUUGUUAACCACUGCGCCACGACGGGAACUCCUGAAUCCACUAUUUUAAAAGCAAACUAAACAAUUGCCAAAGGUCGAUCAUCUUGAUGGAAUCUGCAUCAGCACCCUUAGACUGGGCUACAUUGGCCAUAUUAGAAUUCUGCAGGAGAAUUUUAUUUCACAACAAGGAAAGGGCUGACUAAAUAUUUCCAUUUUGAAGUAUAAAUAAUAAAAAUUAAGACACUUCAUCUUUUUGCCUAUAUCUAGCUAUCUCAAGUUCUAUGAAAUCUUCCUUCAAAAUAUCUUUUUAAAUCUGGCUUGUCCGUAAUAUCCCUCCAUGAAUAUUAUGAACUCAUAUGUGAAUUCUGACAAUGAAUUCUUAUUAUACAGUUCUAUAGCCUGUCUCUAAUCCUUUUCAUAAUGCCCUUGCAACUCAGUAACCUGCUUUCCUAUUGCCUGUGAAAUUAAAUACAAACUCCGAUGUAACUUUCAAAGCCCUCCUUAUCUAACUCCACCCUCCCUUGUGUUCACUGCAGAAUAGCAGGCUUCCACUACUGUCAAAAACUAGUUCCAUUCAGUCCAACCCUUGCAACAUUGUGUUUAUCACAUAAAUGCUCUUCUACGUUCUUCUGUAUUCAAGUUUUAAGCAUUCAAGAUUAAAUUCAAAGUUCUAUUUUGCCUUUUCUUUUUUUGUUGUUGUUGUUUUUUUUUGUUUGUUUGUUUUUUGCCUUUUUCUAGGGCCGCUCCCGCGGCACAUGGAGGUUCCCAGGCUAGGGGUCUAAUCGGAGCUGUAGCCACCGGCCUAUGCCACAGCCACAGCAAGGACAGAUCCUUAAUGCACUGAGCAAGACCAGGGAUUGAACCCGAAACCUCAUGGUUCCUAGUCGGAUUCGUUAACCACUGCACCACGACGGGAACUCCCAUUUUGGCUUUUCACUUUGAGUUGGUUUUAGCAGUGGUUUAUAUACAUCUUUUAUCAUUAGCUAUUUACCUAAAAAAUUGUACCUGCGUCUUCUUCCACGCCCACAUACUUACUGUCAUAGGAUGGCAGAAUUUGAAGGACAAAAUGACUUAUAGAACUGAAAUCUUGAUCUUGUUACUGUCCGGCUGACUACCUACUUGAUUUUAGGAAAUUAGGUUGUAUGCUUCCUCUUUUCAUCCAAUACCUAUCCCACAGAAUUGAAAUUCCAACAGCAAGGAUAAACAUAAUCAUAAUUGCUUUUCAAGUUCAAGGCAUUUUUAUUUUUAAUCUAAUGGUAUCUUUUUUUAAACUCCCAGUGGCUUAACAAAGCUGGUUAUAUAAUAAAUAUUCAAUCAACAUGUACUAUUUUAGAAUUGAGGAAGUAGUUACUAGGGCAUUUGCCACAUAUAAAUGGUUCUCUCUUUGCAGCCUUAACUAGAAUGCUAGAGCU